UUUCCUUGAUGACGACUGGCGCACGGGUGAGUAACGCGUAUCCAACCUUCCCAUAACUACGGGAUAACCCGUUGAAAGACGGCCUAAUACCGUAUGACAUCGUUUGCUGACAUCAAAUAACGAUUAAAGGUUUAGCGGUUAUGGAUGGGGAUGCGUCUGAUUAGCUUGUUGGCGGGGUAACGGCCCACCAAGGCUACGAUCAGUAGGGGUUCUGAGAGGAAGGUCCCCCACAUUGGAACUGAGACACGGUCCAA
rnacentral:rRNA from 1 species